UACGGGGGGGGCAAGCGUUGUUCGGAAUUACUGGGCGUAAAGGGCUCGUAGGCGGCCAACUAAGUCAUACGUGAAAUCCCCCGGCUUAACCGGGGAACUGCGUCUGAUACUGGAUGGCUUGAGUUCGGGAGAGGGAUGCGGAAUUCCAGGUGUAGCGGUGAAAUGCGUAGAUAUCUGGAGGAACACCGGUGGCGAAGGCGGCAUCCUGGCCCACGACUGACACUCAGACACGACAGCAUGGGGAGCGAACGGG
rnacentral:rRNA from 1 species